rnacentral:misc_RNA from 1 species
AAGUCGUAACAAGGUUUCCGUAGGUGAACCUGCGGAAGGAUCAUUAUUGAAUUCCAACUGGGUGAGAUUGCUGCUGGCUCUCGGGCAUGUGCACAUCUCAUUCAUUUACCUCUCACCUCUGUGCACUUUUCACAGGACAACAGGUGGUUGUGGGCUUUAUUGCCCAUAGCUGCAUGUUGCUUCGUGUGCUUUACAAACUCAUAAUCAAGUUUAGAAUGUUCAUUGUGUAUCCACACAUUUAAAUACAACUUUCAGCAACGGAUCUCUUGGCUCUC